rnacentral:tRNA from 2 species
AGUUGUAUAGCGCAAUGGUAACGCAUUUGUUUUUGUAACGGAAGGAUUUGGGUUCGAUUUCCGGUGCAACCA